rnacentral:lncRNA from 1 species
AAUAAAAUUGCCUGAACCAGACCCCCCUAACCCCCACAAAAAAACUCACAGACUCAUCUUUCUCAACAUUUGUCGUCUCCGCCGCCGGAAAUCGCCCUACGGCGGCGGGCAGUCCCCAAAUCGUCACCACACAAUUUCCUUUUCCUCCUCAUUCCUAAUCCCCAACCCGUUUCCUUUAAAAAUCCCAACAACUCCGCGGAUUUUAGAUCUAAGAAGUCACAAAAACCUAAAUCCAUCCCCAUUUUGAGUUUUUCCUAAAUCCGGCCUACCUGAGGUUCAAACUAACGCUAAUCGAACACUCUUAUUGAGAGUUGUCAAUUGGAUUCAGUUUUGACCUAUUCUAGCCACUAGAAUCCGGCCAGCACCAUGGAAUCCCCAUAACAUUGAUUUCUUUUGCCGGUAUAUGGCGAACAUCAUCACGUAUAGUAUUGGCUACGCCUCGAGUGUGGGCUAAUACUCAUGUAACAAUGUCGGGUAUUAGCCAGAUGUCAUUUUUCGGGCAGCCUUAUCUUCUAUUGGUAAUCUUUUCUUCUCCUUUUCAUUCCCUAAAUUAGUGAUUCUUUGUUUAAUUGUUACUUAAUUCUCAGUUCUUAUUUGGCACAUGCUUAGGUCAAUCGUUAAUUAUUUUAAUUGUCUAAUUAGUUGUUUGCUGAAUCUGAAGUUUGGAUAGUUUGUUGUUGUGGUUUCAAAUUGCAUAUUUAUUUAAUUAACACGAUAAUUAGUUGGUAAUUCAUGACUAGUUAUGUUUGUUAGCUUUUUGUUAGUUUAAGCUUAGUGAAUUUCUGUUUAAUGCUAUUAAGAGAAAGAAGGCAGUAAUUUUGGGUAAAAAAAAAGGUUAAAAGAAUGGUAUUAAUUGAGACUUCAGGGGGGUUGAUUAGGAAAUAUUUCUGAAGGAAUCUUGUUGUUACUUGUUUUAGGAAGCUUCUAAAAAUAAGAAAGGGACUUGAUAGCAAUAAAUUGAUAAAGAAAAGGGGAAGAUCGUGGAAUUUGGGGCUAGAAAGGGAAAACACAUAAAGGAAUAUGGGCUGUAAAAUAAGAAAAGAAUAAAUGGAAAAGGACAGUUGUCCAAAUCUGUUACAAAGAUGCUUUUUUCCUAUUUUUUUAGGGCUGACAGAUUUCCUGAUUAUUCUCUCAUUUUUUUGCAUAUAGCACACACUCAUAUUCUAUAUAAGACACUACACAUUUCCUCACUCGAGCUACACACAAUUCACUUCAUUUUUAGAGAUUCCCUUUCACUCAUCUCCAUUCUCAUUUUUCAGCAGAGAACAAAAAUUCUAGCAUUCCAGCUUUUAAAUUUCAGAAAAACAUUAAAAAAAAUAUUUUCUGAGUUUGUUUCUUUUUCUGCUGUUUGACUUCAUUUCUUCUGGCCCAGAAGUUCUGGGUCAAGAAGUGGGGUUUUGGCUUCAUUUUGAUGUUCGUUGCUGCUUCAUUAGCUGCUUCUUAGUUCUAGCUAUUUCUUCUCCAAAGUCAGAGAUUUAUUUUCUUUUUAUCUAUUUUUCUGUAAGCCAGGUAUCAUUCUUGACCAAAUGACAUAAAUUUCAGUUCUUGUUUGAAGUGUAGAAUUGUUGUUUGCUCCGUUAAGUUUCAGUGCUGUGAAUAUGUUUCAUAUUCAUCCAAAGUUGUGUCUGGUCUGAUUGUUGUUCUGGAAUGUGGUAUUUUUUGAGUUAUAAAUUGAAUUUACUACAUAUAUCAUGUUAGAGGAUGGUAUAAAGAUCUGUUUGCUCAUGGUUGAUCAACUGAAUUGAUUCAGGAUGUGAGUUUUGGUUGAGAAAUAUGUGGAAGCGGAAGGAGGAAUUUGAGUGUGAUGCUUCAAACGUCUAUAGUACAUUUAUUAGGCUGUUAUGAUUGUUUAAUUGGAAAUUCAAGUGUAAUAAUUCAUUCUCUCUGUAUUUGUUUUAGAUGAAUACGAAUGAGUUUGAAUUGCAACCUUUAUUGUAUAUCUGAAUGAGCAUGCAAUCAUUUUUCCCUUUGUGUUGAAUUUAGAAGCAUGAAUGUUAGUUAAAUCUGUAGCAAAAGGCCAGUCCAAUUUGUCCGUUAAAGCUGAUUCACUGAGGGAUGUGGUCGAAACAGCAGUGAUAUUUCUCGUAUGAUAAAUUCAUCAGUUUUCAAGUAGUAAAUUAAAAAGAAAG